AACGUAGUCUCGAUCAUCCAGCCGCUUUAUUUUUCAAAGUAUAGCGUCUGGAUGACAAGUGAUAUAAAAAUGGUAAUUUAUGACAUUCGGAAUAGUAUCGGCUUUUUUAGCUUGUUGUUAGAGAUAAUGUCCAAGACGAAUAACCAAGAAGUUGGUUAUUGACUUCGGAAGAAAUGACAUUACGAUAAUAUUAUUGAAAAGCCCGAGUGUACCGAUUGUUGUUUAAAGCUAUUUAUAUAUUUUUGUGACGACAUACAAUUCAUGGAAAACACCAUACAGCAUGGCCGCGAAGGAAAAAAUCAGCACAUCCAACCUUGACAAGCCAAUGAUGAUUUCUGGACACAGAUUUUAAGUGUAAAAUGUGAAGAAUUAAAAAAAAUAUGUAAUAUUCAGGAUUUUCAUUGUAUCAUAAACAUGCAUCAAUUCUAUAAGAACAAGAUUCAAACUGAAAGUUUUUUUUUUUUAAUUACUGAAGCAUCAAUCAGUUUAAAUAAAUCACAGUACCAAAAAUGUUGGCUAAACAUUAUUUUGACAGCAACCAUCAAGUGAAAAAGGUACACAGACGUAUAUUGAGUAAAUAAAACAAAAAUCAAGAAACACAUUGUUGUUAGAUAUGUCAGGGAAAUUAGAUUUGUAUUAACAAAUUAAAAACCAUAUACAAUGUAAACAAUUAAACAGUUAGUUUUCA